rnacentral:ncRNA from 14 species
UUUUUACGCCUCAAACUUUCGUUUUCGGGUCAUUUCGUCCAGACUUAAGUUCACAACACCUCACC